CACGGUUUUACGUACAGCGAAGACGAGACAAAUGAGCAUGGAGCAAAAAGCGAAAUAAAAUAGAAGCAAACAAACUCCUCGGUAUCAACCGUGGUACCGGAGAAACACAAAACCGGGCUUACCAUCACCAAAACAGAUAAAGGAUUCAGACAGCUUGAAUGCGGUAAGUCAGGCAGUAAACUCCGCGAUUGCGACUUCCACUUCCAAAAACAACAAGGAAAUAGAAUGAGCACCGCGAGUUUUUCUAUCUCGAAGAAUUCCAGCAGGAGGAAGAGGAAUGGUUCAAUGAAGUCCGGAAGGAACUAAAAGAGACAAGCAGGAGAGGUUGGGACUGGAUAGCUUCGGCCAAAGCAGAUAGGUCCGGGCAGUGCGAAGAGAUAGGCCCGGCAAUCACCGAGCCAAAUCGAGAGCUUAAGAUUGCGAAGAUAAGAUUUGCUUUUAAGGUGCUGUA